rnacentral:rRNA from 1 species
GAAAGCGGCGAAAGGGAGAGUAACGCGUGGAUACCUACCCCCGAGUCCGGGAUAGCUGCGGGAAACUGCAGGUAAUACCGGAUAACAUCUCCGGAUCAAAGGUGUGAUUCCGCUUGGGGACGGGUCCGCGUCCUAUUAGCUUGUUGGUGGGGUAACGGCCUACCAAGGCGACGAUGGGUACCGGGUGUGAGAGCAUGGCCCGGCUCACUGGGACUGAGACACUGCCCAGACACCUACGGGUGGCUGCAGUCGAGAAUCUUCGGCAAUGAGCGCAAGCUUGACCGAGCGACGCCGCGUGCGGGAUGAAGGCCUUCGGGUUGUAAACCGCUGUCAGAGGGGAUGAAAUGCUAUGGGGUUCUCUCCAUAGUUUGACAUAUCCUCAGAGGAAGUACGGGCUAAGUUCGUGCCAGCAGCCGCGGUAAGACGAACCGUACGAACGUUAUUCGGAAUCACUGGGCUUAAAGGGUGCGUAGGCGGCCCGGCAAGUUGGGUGUGAAAUCCCUCGGGCUCAACCGAGGAACUGCGCUCAAAACUGCCGGACUUGAGGGAGGCAGANGCGAGUGGAACUUGCGGUGGAGCGGUGAAAUGCGUUGAUAUCGCAAGGAAACACCA